UUUUGCAGGUCAUAUACCACUGGAUCAUGUUUUUGCUUCAGUCAAGUGCCUUCUAUUGAGCUGGCUUUGGGAAACACAUCCAGAGAGUUUCUCUCCACUUCGUCUACAAGAUAUUUGCUCCUUGCUAGACUUGAGGUGCGCUGGCGGCAAAUGGACGAGCUCUUAUAUAUGCAGCUGUGAUCCUUGUCGACGGAGGUGCCAUCUGCAGCACUGGCUCUGUAAUUAAAAAGGGCUCACAGCUGCAUUUGCCUGGUACCAGGGUUCCCGGACGAGAUCAUUCAUCGCUGAGAUCCCAAGCAAAGAGCCUUGGCAGGGAAAAUAAAGGGGACGACUGCAGGAGGCAAAUAUAAAAAAUAUCCUGCAGAUAGCAACUGCUGCUGCUUUUACGCCUGCUGUUCUUGUAUCUGAACUUGUUUCCUGUUUGUGUUGUUAAUGGGGUGACAUGCACCCCUUAAGGGAUAGGAAAUGUUCUGAAUAUCAUGUUUCAGAUGUGACGUUGUUAGAAACGGUGAGUGAAAACGCUCCCAUAGAAACAUCUUCCCCAUCAGGAUGAGAGCGAGCAGCUCACCUGUGUAAAUUCUUCCCCAGACAGGUAGGAACAUGAGCCGAAGAUUCUUCCCUUUCCUUUGCACCAAGGGAGUCAGAGAAAAAAGGUUGCCAGGGAAUCCUGAGUGACUGAAGGCUUGGUGGGUCCUCGGUUUUACAUCUCACCUGAGCGAUCGCACAUCCAGCAUCACAACAGCUCCGCACACUGUGGCGAGGUGUUUGAGUCAGAACCGAUUCAGCAGGAUGGAUGCCACCCAGCGAUCCACCAGGACACACCUUUGCAUCGUCUACUCUUCACUUGAGGAUGUGUCUACGCUACAACGGGACAGCAGUAAAGAUCAUGAGAGAGGCUUAUGUUGCGUAGCCUGUUGACCUCUUGUUCAUUUCAAAGAAGAGUGUCUUGAGGGGACCUGAAGGAUGAGAAUCAAACACAAGGCCCCGUCCCACAGUGCUAUGAGAGCAGAAGAUGGUUUGUUUUGCCAUGGCAGGAUGCCCUUCCAAGAGAGAAAGCCAGAGGAUGAAUUUGGACCACUGGGUGCAGUUGAUGUCAUUUCCAGAGGACUGACCACUUACGUGUCCAGCAAGCAGGAGGCAAAGAUAGUUGGGUAAGAACUGGGCAGGAAAACUAAGACCUUCCUUCCAAAAGCUCAUUGAACUAGUGGUUCUGGUCCAGCUGGGAGCUGGAUCUUCACAAGGGAAGCGAGGGAAGGACUGGGGUUGGGGGGGUGGAAUGUAGGUUUCCUGGACUAAAGAAAACAAAGAAUAUUAUUGGGCAAACAAUGGAUUUCUGACCUGAUUUUAUUUCUUUGGGCCACGCUGUCUUUCCUGUUUACUUGUUAUUUUGGAAAUAGAACAAUUGAUAAUUUACUGCUGAUUAGCUGGCAAGACUCUGACUUGUCAGUAAACUUGAUUUUAACUGGCCAAGUGUCAGGGCAAGAAGCCAGGAACGUUGUGGCAGGGAACAGUAAACAAAACAAUUAUAAGAUUAACACCUUGUUUAGCGGUCAGAUAUUGUCAAGUGGGUGAAAGAUUGCUCCAGCUCCUCCACAUAGCGCCUGGUAGACAAAUUACCUUAUUAAGAAGGAUCUUGCU